UUCUUUAUCAUUUUCUUCCUCUAUUCUCUCACCGCUCGUGGCCAACACCCCUAAACUCCUACCCUCUCAAUUUCUUUUGAUUUCUAACAAAGAAUUACACUAAUUUCACCUAAUUAAACCUUAAGCUAUUGAUUUCUAUGGAAGAUUGAAGCUAGAAUAUGAGGUUUUUGGUUUAAGGACAUAGAGAAAACUAAGGGUUUUGCUAGAGCUAAAAGAAAGGAGAACCUUCUAGAUUGGAUAAAGGGGAAGUCCAUUACAUGAUAUUGAUGAUUUUCGAGCUUGCUAAAACCUAAUUAUAAGGUUGUUGACUAAGGGUGCAAGUAGAAGACCAAAGUAUCAGCAUUAGAGCAAAAGGAUAUUCUUUUUGGGUUGUUUAGAUUGUCAUUUAUAUAUUUGAUAAUUAUGGCAUGUAAAAAUUAAGAUUACCUGGACUAUGUAAUUGUUUGAAACUUAUGUACAAGAAUUUAUAUUAGCAGCUUGUA